rnacentral:RNase_P_RNA from 1 species
AAAGUCGGUUAGACAAUCGCUCCUAAAGUAAUUUAGGGGAGGAAAGUCCGGGCUCCAUAGGGCAAAGUGCCAGGUAACGCCUGGGAGGCGAGAGCCUACGGAAAGUGCCACAGAAAAUAUACCGCUCACGCAAGUGAGUAAGGGUGAAAUGGUGCGGUAAGAGCGCACCGCACGUCUGGUAACAGACGUGGCAGGGAAAACCCCACUCGGAGCAAGACCAAAUAGGAAUCCACUUGAUCGCAAGAUCAUAACGCAUGGCCCAUGCGGGAUUCGGGUAGGUUGCUUGAGGCAAACGGUGACGUUUGUCCCAGAUGAAUGAUUGUCCGCGACAGAACCCGGCUUAUCGACCGACUUUUUUC